AGAGUUUUAGUUUAGUUAAAAUGUCUGUGUUGCAAUCAGAAGAUGUAGUGAGGCUGCAAACUCUA
rnacentral:tRNA from 1 species